UCCUUAAGUUUUUUGAACGCAGUG
rnacentral:piRNA from 1 species